AUAUAAGUACUAAUUAAUUUAUGCGUCAUCAACAUCAACUCUUCAUAGUUAUUAUAUAAGUACUUAUAUAAUAACUAUGAAGAGUUGAUGUUGAUGACGCAUAAAAACAUCGAUAAGUAUGAU
rnacentral:pre_miRNA from 1 species